CCUACGGGAGGCAGCAGUGAGGAAUAUUGGUCAAUGGGCGCGAGCCUGAACCAGCCAAGUAGCGUGAAGGAUGACUGCCCUACGGGUUGUAACCUUCUUUUUUAAAGGAAUAAAGUGAGGCACGUGUGCCUUUUUGUAUGUACUUUAUGAAUAAGGAUCGGCUAACUCCGUGCCAGCAGCCGCGGUAAUACGGAGGAUCCGAGCGUUAUCAGGAUUUAUUGGGGUUAAAGGGAGCGUAGAUGGGUUGUUAAGUCAGUUGUGAAAGUUUGCGGCUCAACCGUAAAAUUGCAAUUGAUACUGGCAGUCUUGAGUACAGGUGAGGUAGGCGGAAUUCGUGGUGUAGCGGUGAAAUGCGUAGAUAUCACGAAGAACUCCGAUUGCGAAGGCAGCUUACUAAACUGCCACUGACAUUGAUGCGCGAAAGUGUGGGUAUCAAACAGGAUUAGAUACCCUGGUAGUC
rnacentral:rRNA from 1 species